UAUCUGUCAAAUGUAAAUAGUGUAAAUAAGAAAUGGAGUGUUGUAACAAACAAUGGUGAGAGUUGUGAUACAGUUUGCAUAGAGUAGAUGUGCAAAUGGUGAGUUGUCUUUCAGACUUUAUAGAUGCAUGACAAAUCUGUCUUAUCGCAAGUAGCCAGUCCCACCUACAAAUGGACUGAGAGGAAGCUGUCACUGAAUGGCUGGGAAGAGUUGCAGAAUGCAAUAUGGAUAUAUUGCAAGAGAAAGGAUUCCUUGUUGAAAGGUUUUGUCUAAAAACGAUCAAAGAGUUAAGUGAUGUACCUCUAUUUUGCAAUUAACAGGUGGGUCUUCACAUUUUCUCGAAAGGGGAUUUAGAGAAACUCUGGCCAAUGCGUGGAAGGCUGUGUCUCUUGAAGGAGCAAGGCAUAUGAAAGCAUGGCCUGUCUAAGCUUGAGAAUGAGGCAAAAAGGUUAGCAGAGAUUGUGCACCGCAAUCUUGCCCUUGGUCUGAAGGUAGAGAUUAUGGGAAAGGCAUGUAAUGGUCAUGGUCAGAGAUAUUGGUGCAAAUGUGGACCCUCGUCUGGUUGUCUCUUUUGCAGCCUUAUACUGGCAAGAAGUGAGUGCAGAUGUGACCCAUAACAACGUGAUGAAGUGGGGUCUACAUGGACGAUCCAAGUGUCCCCUAAAGACCACAAGGGUAUUCAGUAACAUAUGUCCAUUGCUGGAAUGGUGGUGUAGGACAGAAGGCCCAGUUGCUAAACAUUUAGGAGUAUGAACCAUUUGAAGGUUUUCUAUUAAAAAGGUGAAAGAUUCUGCCAGGCAGCAGCAACAACAGGAAGUAGAAGAUGAUUGGUGGUGGUGUAACUGUUUCCAUGACAACACCACUCUGGAGAUGGAUGGAGCAGAAACACAAAGCCACCUUAUCCUCAACACUAGGGAUGAGCCCCUGUGAAGUGAGGGCACUGAGAAGCUAAAGGGUCAUUCCUCCCUCCAACACACAAGUGACCAGGCUGUUCUAACAUGUUGUGGUGUGGUGAUGAGGAGGAGAUGGGCCCUGGAGAUAGAAAAAGCAUCGGGAAGAAUAGAAAGAAAGACAAAUAGGACUGUGGCAGACAGUCGCAGAGAUAUCAGUCGUUCUCUGGUUCUUUGAAUGAAGAAUGAAAGCUUUUGGGAGCUGCUAAAGAAGCUAAAAAUAAAAGGCCAGAAGAAAUAUACUGAAAGCCACCCAAACUAUUCCAAGGGUGACAAGUUCAAGAGAAACCAUCUGAAGAACUUUUUAGUGCAACAAAAUGUAUUUUGUUGGACUAAUGAUUAUGAAUUAACCAUUUUAACCAACCACACAAAUUAUCUAUGUAGAGCUAAGGGGCCACCCUUCAGAGCCUGUGGGAUUCUUCACAGGUUGACUAAAGCCAAAGAUAAGCACGUUUGAAUAUGGAGGGUGAAGGCCCAGGGUAGAGUGAGGAGAGGAAAGGAUUGCUCGAUACGGAUAAUGAUCUGAAUUGUGGGGUGCCUUGAUCUUCCUAGGUGGUGGUUUCUAUUUUUGUAGGUGGGUGCCUUUGAUGGUUUACUAGAUUUCUUUUACCCUGUCUUCCACGUUUUGUUUCAUUUUGCACCACCCCAUACGCCCCCCCCACACACAGGAUUUUGUAACCUUUCUGUAUGGCGUGUUUUGUACAUGUUUUGGCCUACAGUGUCCAAUAAAUUAAUAAUGUUAAUAAAAAUUGCUUUUUAUCUUU
rnacentral:lncRNA from 1 species